UACGGGGGGGGCAAGCGUUGUUCGGAAUUACUGGGCGUAAAGGGCUCGUAGGCGGCCAACUAAGUCGGACGUGAAAUCCCCAGGCUCAACCUGGGAACUGCGUCCGAUACUGGAUGGCUUGAAUUCGGGAGAGGGAUGCAGAAUUCCAGGUGUAGCGGUGAAAUGCGUAGAUAUCGGGAGGAACACCAAUGGCGAAGGCAGCUCACUGGGACGGCACUGACGCUGAGACGCGAAAGCGUGGGGAGCAAACAGG
rnacentral:rRNA from 1 species